AGCGAACGCUGGCGGCAGGCCUAACACAUGCAAGUCGAACGGAUCCUUCGGGAUUAGUGGCAGACGGGUGAGUAACGCGUGGGAACGUGCCCUUUGGUUCGGAACAACACAGGGAAACUUGUGCUAAUACCGGAUGUGCCCUUCGGGGAAGGAUUAUCGCCAUUGGAGCGGCCCGCGUUGGAUUAGGUAGUUGGUGAGGUAAAGGCUCACCAAGCCUACGAUCCAUAGCUGGUCUGAGAGGAUGAUCAGCCACACUGGGACUGAGACACGGCCCACGACUCCUACGGGAGGGCAGCAGUGGGGAAGUCUUGCGCAAUGGGGCGAAAGCCUGACGCAGCCAUGCCGCGUGAAUGAUGAAGGUCUUAGGA
rnacentral:rRNA from 1 species